rnacentral:rRNA from 1 species
UACAGAGGUCUCAAGCGUUGUUCGGAUUCAUUGGGCGUAAAGGGUGCGUAGGCGGCGCGGUAAGUCGGGGUGUGAAAUUUCGAGGCUUAACUCCGAAACUGCAUUCGAUACUGCCGUGCUUGAGGACUGGAGAGGAGACUGGAAUUUACGGUGUAGCGGUGAAAUGCGUAGAUAUCGUAAGGAAGACCAGUGGCGAAGGCGGGUCUCUGGACAGUUCCUGACGCUGAGGCACGAAGGUCAGGGGAGCAAACGGG